rnacentral:rRNA from 1 species
GAAAUUAUAGUACCUGUGAAGAUGCAGGUUACCCGCGACAGGACGGAAAGACCCCGUGGAGCUUUACUGCAGCCUGAUAUUGAAUGUUGGUACAGCUUGUACAGGAUAGGUAGGAGCCUUGGAAACCGGAGCGCCAGCUUCGGUGGAGGCAUCGGUGGGAUACUACCCUGGCUGUAUUGACCUUCUAACCCGCCGCCCUUAUCGGGCGGGGAGACAGUGUCAGGUGGGCAGUUUGACUGGGG